rnacentral:rRNA from 1 species
UACGUAGGGUGCGAGCGUUGUCCGGAAUUAUUGGGCGUAAAGAGCUCGUAGGCGGUUUGUCACGUCUGCUGUGAAAUCCCGAGGCUCAACCUCGGGCCUGCAGUGGGUACGGGCAGACUGGAGUGCGGUAGGGGAGAAUGGAAUUCCUGGUGUAGCGGUGGAAUGCGCAGAUAUCAGGAGGAACACCGGUGGCGAAGGCGGGUCUCUGGGCCGGAACUGACGCUGAGGAGCGAAAGCGUGGGGAGCGAACAGG